rnacentral:misc_RNA from 1 species
GUGCAAUCUUCGCCAGUGGAAGUCCAUUUGAUCCAUUUGAAUACAACGGGAAGCUCUUUGUCCCUGGCCAGUCCAACAAUGCCUACAUUUUCCCUGGGUUCGGUUUGGGUGUCGUAAUUUCUGGAGCAAUUCGUGUGCAUGACGACAUGCUUCUGGCUGCCUCGGAAGCAUUGGCUGCCCAAGUCUCUGAAGAGAACUACGACAAGGGAUUGAUCUACCCGCCCUUUACUAAUAUCCGAAAGAUCUCG